rnacentral:rRNA from 1 species
UAUUAGCUUGUUGGUGGGGUAACGGCCUACCAAGGCGACGAUGGGUACCGGGCGUGAGAGCAUGGCCCGGCUCACUGGGACUGAGACACUGCCCAGACACCUACGGGUGGCUGCAGUCGAGAAUCUUCGGCAAUGGGCGAAAGCCUGACCGAGCGACGCCGUGUGUGGGAUGAAGGCCUUCGGGUUGUAAACCGCUGUCAGAGGGGAUGAAAUGCUGGUAGGUUAUCCUUCCAGUUUGACAAAUCCUCAGAGGGAGUACGGGCUAAGUUCGUGCCAGCAGCCGCGGUAAUACGAACCGUACGAACGU